rnacentral:lncRNA from 1 species
AUUAAAAAUUGGAAAUAUUUCUAAAAUCAGACGCAUUCAGGGUACAGCUUAGCUCAAAGUAAGAAAAAAACAUGUAGCCCUAAUAUUUUAAACUUCCGGAGGAGCUAAAAAGAUACCUUAAGCUAAAUAAAGCUCAAUGCAGGCUACUGGCUACUGCAAUCUCUCUUCUGCAUCUUUCAUUUAGAAUGUGCACAAAACAAAUGCUUAGUUGAAGAGAAAAGGAGUCCGGAGUACCAUGUCGAAGAGAGGUAAGAUCGUCGAGAGAUUUAUAACCUAGUCCUGCCAUCUUAAAGGGUUAGAACCCCUUUUGCCAAUUGGGCUUCUCCAUCUGAUGAACUCACCUUGACUUUUAUCCAGCUCCUUGUAGAUAAUUACUCUAUGAAAAAGGAAAAAGAAAAACUCUUUUGCAUCCACCAUCACACUAUUUACUAUUCAUCCAUAUCAUCAGAGUCUCAGGCAUACCUAUCAGCCGUUCAGUAUGCCAGGAUAAAUUAGAAAAAACCAGCACAAACCAUUUUACCAAUAACAACUUCAUAUGCUAUUGAUGAACCAUGCAUUGGAGUUAAAUAAGAAACAAAUACUUGUCAUCUCUUGGACAUCCUAAAACAGGAAAGGGAAAUAAUGGAUUUUCUCACUAAUUUUGAAGGAGGAUUUUCGAUUUGACAAAGAAAGGGUACUUGGUAAAGCUAGAUCUUCUCUUGUGCUCCUAAAUGCAGAUAGCAGAGGUGAACCCUGGCGCCAACUAGAGGGAAAAGCCAAUAGGGCAUAAAUGAAAGCCCAGAAAUCCCAAAUGGUGUCACUUGAACAGAUCUGGAUUGAGCCAGUCCCUACA